rnacentral:rRNA from 1 species
ACAUGCUUACAACAUAGCAUUAAUGCACCAGAUCCCAUUAGAACUCCACAGUUAAGUGCGCUCGGGCUAGAGAAAUACUUGGAUGGGUGAUUGUCCGAGAAGUCCUAGUGUUUUACAUGCA